AAAUAAAGACAAUGAUAACGAAGAUGAAUCUAAUCGCGAAGAAAACAAAGAUUUAUUUUCAAACAAAUUGAGUGAUUAUGGUGGAGGAUAUGGAGGAUAUGGAGGAUACGGUGGCGGAUAUGGUUAUGGCAAAAAAGAGAUAAAUGAAGACGAAGAUAAAAGUGAAGGUGGAUAUGGUGGAUAUGGUUACGGAAAAAGAGAAACGUAAGAA